UCCAAACUUGGUUACUCUCCUUCCCUUCC
rnacentral:piRNA from 1 species